AGCAGUGGGGAAUUUUGGACAAUGGGCGAAAGCCUGAUCCAGCCAUGCCGCGUGCAGGAUGAAGGCCUUCGGGUUGUAAACUGCUUUUGUACGGAACGAAACGGCCUUUUCUAAUAAAGAGGGCUAAUGACGGUACCGUAAGAAUAAGCACCGGCUAACUACGUGCCAGCAGCCGCGGUAAUACGUAGGGUGCAAGCGUUAAUCGGAAUUACUGGGCGUAAAGCGUGCGCAGGCGGUUAUGUAAGACAGUUGUGAAAUCCCCGGGCUCAACCUGGGAACUGCAUCUGUGACUGCAUAGCUAGAGUACGGUAGAGGGGGAUGGAAUUCCGCGUGUAGCAGUGAAAUGCGUAGAUAUGCGGAGGAACACCGAUGGCGAAGGCAAUCCCCUGGACCUGUACUGACGCUCAUGCACGAAAGCGUGGGGAGCAAACAGGAUUAGAUACCCUGGUAGUCCACGCCCUAAACGAUGUCAACUGGUUGUUGGGUCUUCACUGACUCAGUAACGAAGCUAACGCGUGAAGU
rnacentral:rRNA from 1 species